rnacentral:rRNA from 1 species
GUUGUUGCAGUUAAAAAGCUCGUAGUUGAACUUCGGGGUCUACCCAUUGGUCAGGCUUAAUUGUCUGCACUGGUGAGAUGGAUCUCUACCUUCUGAGGAACUUUCAUGCCAUUUAUUUGGUGUGGUUGGAAAUCAGGACUGUUACUUUGAAAAAAUUAGAGUGUUUAAAGCAGACUAUCGUCUGAAUACAUUAGCAUGGAAUAAUGAAAUAGGACGGACUGAUUCUAUUUCGUUGGUUUCUAGGAUCACCGUAAUGAUUAAUAGGGAUAGUUGGGGGCAUUAGUAUUCAAUUGUCAGAGGUGAAAUUCUUGGAUUUAUUGAAGACUAACUACUGCGAAAGCAUUUGCCAAGGAUGUUUUCAUUAAUCAAGGACGAAAGUUAGGGGAUCGAAGACGAUCAGAUACCGUCGUAGUCUUAACCAUAAACUAUGCCGACUAGGGAUCGGACGAAGUUAAUUUUAUAAUGACGCGUUCGGCGCCUUACGGGAAAC